rnacentral:rRNA from 1 species
GACGAACGCUGGCGGCGUGCCUAAUACAUGCAAGUUGAGCGCUGAAGGCUGGUACUUGUACCAACUGGAUGAGCAGCGAACGGGUGAGUAACGCGUGGGGAAUCUGCCUUUGAGCGGGGGACAACAUUUGGAAACGAAUGCUAAUACCGCAUAAAAACUUUAAACACAAGUUUUAAGUUUGAAAGAUGCAAUUGCAUCACUCAAAGAUGAUCCCGCGUUGUAUUAGCUAGUUGGUGAGGUAAAGGCUCACCAAGGCGAUGAUACAUGGCCGACCUGAGAGGGUGAUCGGCCACAUUGGGACUGAGACACGGCCCAAACGCCUACGGGAGGCAGCAGUAGGGAAUCUUCGGCAAUGGACGAAAGUCUGGCCGAGCAACGCCGCGUGCGUGAAGAAGGUUUUCGGAUCGUAAAACUCGGUUGGUAGAGAAGAACGUUGGUGAGAGUGGAAAGCGCAUCAAGUGACGGUAACUACCCAGAAAGGGACGGCUAACUACGUG